UACGAAGGGAGCUAGCGUUGUUCGGAAUCACUGGGCGUAAAGCGCACGUAGGCGGAUUUGCCAGUCAGGGGUGAAAUCCCGGGGCUCAACCUCGGAACUGCCUUUGAUACAGCAAGUCUUGAGUUCGAGAGAGGUGGGUGGAAUUCCUAGUGUAGAGGUGAAAUUCGUAGAUAUUGGGAAGAAACACCGGUGGCGAAGGCGGCGCUCUGGACCGAGACUGACGCUGAGGCGGCGAAAGCGUGGGGAGCAACAGG
rnacentral:rRNA from 1 species